rnacentral:rRNA from 1 species
GCGAUACAUGGUGUGAAUUGCAGAAUCCCGCGAACCAUCGAGUCUUUGAACGCAAGUUGCGCCCGAGGCCAUCCGGCCGAGGGCACGCCUGCCUGGGCGUCACGCCAAAAGGCGCUCCCAAACCCCCCAGGGGGCGAGGGACGCGGUGUCUGGCUCCCCGCGCCG